GACAGAGGUGCCAAGCGUUAGGCGGAAUCACUGGGCUUAAAGCGUGUGUAGGCGGGUCGUUAAGUGUCUUGUGAAAUCCCCCGGCUCAACCGGGGAAUGGCUGGGCAUACUGGCGAUCUUGAGCAGUCUAGGGGCAGAUGGAACAGACGGUGGAGCGGUGAAAUGCGUGGAUAUCGUCUGGAACGCCAAAGGUGAAAACAGUCUGCUGGGGACUUGCUGACGCUGAGACACGAAAGCCAGGGGAGCGAACGGG
rnacentral:rRNA from 1 species